AAUAAAUGCAGUUUUAUAUUAUUUAUGUCUAAUGUUUGACCGUUUAUCUUAUUUGAAAAAAAUUGUAAUUAGUAUUUUUGUAGUUAUUAGAUGAUAAAACAUGAAUAGUACUUUAUGUGUGACUACUUUUUUUUAUAAAUUUUAAGAUAGACGGUCAAACGUUAGACACGGAUAUCUACAGCUGCACUUGUU
rfam:Oryza nivara chromosome 7, whole genome shotgun sequence.